rnacentral:lncRNA from 1 species
AUAAGAAAGGACUAUUUGAAAAGAAAUCUAAAAAGCUAGGACAAAAGUGAAAAAAUGAAAAAGUGGCCACAUGGACCGCCAUGUCAGCAGCACGACCAGUCGCCGUGCACCGCGUGGCAGACACGCGAACACGCAUCCACGUGGAUGAUCCGCUUGCCAACAGAUCCGACGACCUAAAUUUACUCCCGAGUGCAUGGACGACCUAGAUUCGUUUCUUCUUCAGGUGCGAUCGAGCGGUUCUGAUUGCAUCCGAUCGUACAGUCCAGAUAUAUUCUCUAAAUAAAACAGAUCUAACGGUUGAGGUUGGGUCAUGUCUUCUCGAACGGACGAUCCAGAUCGAAAGUGGAGAGGUAUUUAACCCCUCCACCUUGACACCAAAAACCCUAGCCAUCAAGAGAGAAUUAGCGAAGAAGAAGAGGGGUGGCCAAAAGUGAACCAGUUAUCGGAGAAGAAGACCGAUCGCCAUCGUCGCCAUACCGGAGCCUGUCGCCGACGCCAAAAGGUGAGUUUUUUCCCCCUUUCAAUUUGCAAUUUGAUUCUAAGCCUCCCAAACCCAUAUCGGCGUCAAAAAACCAAAGGAGGGGCCAGAAACAGAGGGUGGAGAUUGGCCGAACUACCGCACUUGUGACCCAAAACCCCUCCGGUGAGCUCGAAUCCCCUUCUCGUUUCUUUUCAUUUUUUGACCAUUGGAUUCCUGACUCUUUUAUGGUGCAGGAUGACUAAAGAAAA